UACGUAGGGUGCAAGCGUUGUCCGGAAUCAUUGGGCGUAAAGAGCGUGUAGGCGGCCCCAUCAGUCCGCUGUGAAAGUCCAGGGCUCAACCCUGGGAUGCCGGUGGAUACUGUCGAGCUCGAGUCCGGAAGAGGCGAGUGGAAUUCCUGGUGUAGCGGUGAAAUGCGCAGAUAUCAGGAGGAACACCAAUGGCGAAGGCAGCUCGCUGGGACGUGACUGACGCUGAGACGCGAAAGCGUGGGGAGCAAACAGG
rnacentral:rRNA from 1 species